CCGGGGCUACUUUACGAGAAGGACACAUUGUGAGAAAUGCAUCGUUAGGCGAUUUUGUUGUUGUGCAAACAUCAUAGAGUGCACUUACACAAACCGAGAUGG